rnacentral:rRNA from 1 species
GCAGCAGUGGGGAAUAUUGCACAAUGGGCGAAAGCCUGAUGCAGCGACGCCGCGUGAGGGAUGACGGCCUUCGGGUUGUAAACCUCUUUCAGCAGGGACGAAGCGCAAGUGACGGUACCUGCAGAAGAAGCACCGGCUAACUACGUGCCAGCAGCCGCGGUAAUACGUAGGGUGCAAGCGUUGUCCGGAAUUACUGGGCGUAAAGAGUUCGUAGGCGGUUUGUCGCGUCGUUUGUGAAAACCAGCAGCUCAACUGCUGGCUUGCAGGCGAUACGGGCAGACUUGAGUACUGCAGGGGAGACUGGAAUUCCUGGUGUAGCGGUGAAAUGCGCAGAUAUCAGGAGGAACACCGGUGGCGAAGGCGGGUCUCUGGGCAGUAACUGACGCUGAGGAACGAAAGCGUGGGUAGCGAACAGGAUUAGAUACCCUGGUAGUCCACGCCGUAAACGGUGGGCGCUAGGUGUGGGUUCCUUCCACGGAAUCCGUGCCGUAGCUAACGCAUA